rnacentral:lncRNA from 1 species
UUAGUUUUUGUCUCUCUUUGCUUUCCUUUGCGUUUUGUUCGCAUUCGGUUAUGCUGAGUGUCGUGCAGCAUUCCUUUAAAAUGCAUAUCAAGAUAAAAUGUCCAGGUACGUCUCUUAAUCACCGUAUGUGCUGCCAUCUCUACCUUUGAUUGAGUUCUGUGGUAUAUUUAAAAAACGACCUUAGAAACUACUACUAAUUAAGAACACAGAUGUGAGUGUUAGUCUGUAUUUGCCUGUAUUCUAUUUGUGAUAUUCAUCUCCUAAAUGAUUUUUUAAAGCUCAUCUCGUUAUCAUAUUUAGGAUUAAAAGAUCACAUCAAUAAGAGUGAUACCACCUGAUUUGUUAAUACUCCACAUUUAGUGAAUUUGUUCACAAACUUUUCCUAAAGAAUCAUGAAUAAUAUCGUUAUGUUUUCAUGAUCUCUACUGCUAAGCGUGUGUCACAUAGAAGCCAUGCUUUUAGGAUACAUUAAUUUAUCUUUCAUAAGUAAGAGGCUGAUACAUGCCUAUGAACCUUUGUCUAUUUGACCAUCAUGUCUUAAAAGUUUAGGCUACAUUUUGUCCCACUCUAAAGCUAAUAGAAUUCCAAAUCAGUUUUCUAAUUUCUCACCAAUGUGCUGGAUCGUGUUUUCUUUGGCUAGUUGGGAGGUUCGUGUGUCUCUUUAUUUGUUUCAGAUCAGAUUGGAGAAAUGCUAUAUAUGAUUAUUUGAGCCAUAAUAGUGAGUUCCGCGAGAGGGUAAGAACGUGAGAAAUGUCACUAGUCGUUCAAGUUGGAGUGAAG